GCCGUGGUAGGCAAUUCACCUAGGAGAGCAAACUCCGAACAACAAACCCGGGCAGGUGGAGGUCGUUAGCCGUGGUAGGCAAUUCACCUAGGAGAGCAAACUCCGAACAACAAACCCGGGCAGGUGGAGGUCGUUAGCCGUGGUAGGCAAUUCACCUAGGAGAGCAAACUCCGAACAACAAACCCGGGCAGGUGGAGGUCGUUAGCCGUGGUAGGCAAUUCACCUAGGAGAGCAAACUCCGAACAACAAACCCGGGCAGGUGGAGGUCGUUAGCCGUGGUAGGCAGUUCACCUAGGAGAGCAAACUCCGAACAACAAACCCGGUCAGGUGGAGGUCGUUAGCCGUGGUAGGCAGUUCACCUAGGAGAGCAAACUCCGAACAACAAACCCGGUCAGGUGGAGGUCGUUAGCCGUGGUAGGCAGUUCACCUAGGAGAGCAAACUCCGAACAACAAACCCGGGCAGGUGGAGGUCGUUAGCCCUGGUAGGCAGUUCACCUAGGAGAGCAAACUCCGAACAACAAACCCGGGCAGGUGGAGGUCGUUAGCCGUGGUAGGCAGUUCGCCUAGGAGAGCAAACUCCGAACAACAAACCCGGGCAGGUGGAGGUCGUUAGCCGUGGUAGGCAAUUCACCUAGGAGAGCAAACUCCGAACAACAAACCCGGGCAGGUGGAGGUCGUUAGCCGUGGUAGGCAAUUCACCUAGGAGAGCAAACUCCGAACAACAAACCCGGGCAGGUGGAGGUCGUCAGCCAUGGUAGGCAGUUCGCCUAGGAGAGCAAACUCCGAACAACAAACCCGGGCAGGUGGAGGUCGUUAGCCGUGGUAGGCAAUUCACCUAGGAGAGCAAACUCCGAACAACAAACCCGGUCAGGUGGAGGUCGUUAGCUGUGGUAGGCAGUUCGCCUAGGAGAGCAAACUCCGAACAACAAACCCGGGCUUGUGGUGCCCGUUAGAUGUCGUAGUGCAGGGCCUGAGGGGGUCCCC